rnacentral:piRNA from 7 species
UAAGAUCAAGUGUAGUAUCUGUUC